rnacentral:rRNA from 1 species
AUUGAACGCUGGCGGCAGGCCUAACACAUGCAAGUCGAGCGGAUGAAGGGAGCUUGCUCCUGGAUUCAGCGGCGGACGGGUGAGUAAUGCCUAGGAAUCUGCCUGGUAGUGGGGGAUAACGUCCGGAAACGGGCGCUAAUACCGCAUACGUCCUGAGGGAGAAAGUGGGGGAUCUUGGUACCUCACGCUAUCAGAUGAGCCUAGGUCGGAUUAGCUAGUUGGUGGGGUAAAGGCCUACCAAGGCGACGAUCCGUAACUGGUCUGAGAGGAUGAUCAGUCACAUUGGAACUGAGACACGGUCCAGACUCCUAAGGGAGGCAGCAGUGGGGAAUAUUGGACAAUGGGCGAAAGCCUGAUCCAGCCAUGCCGCGUGUGUGAAGAAGGUCUUCGGAUUGUAAAGCACUUUAAGUUGGGAGGAAGGGCAGUAAGUUAAUACCUUGCUGUUUUGACGUUACCAACAGAAGAAGCACCGGCUAACUUCGUG